rnacentral:rRNA from 1 species
GAUGAACGCUAGCUACAGGCUUAACACAUGCAAGUCGAGGGGAAACGAUAUUGGAAGCUUGCUUCCGAUAGGCGUCGACCGGCGCACGGGUGAGUAACGCGUAUCCAACCUGCCCAUCACUUGGGGAUAACCUUGCGAAAGUAAGACUAAUACCCAAUGAUAUCUCUAGAAGACAUCUGAAGGAGAUUAAAGAUUUAUCGGUGAUGGAUGGGAUGCGUCUGAUUAGCUUGUUGGCGGGGUAACGGCCCACCAAGGCGACGAUCAGUAGGGGUUCUGAGAGGAAGGUCCCCCACAUUGGAAAUGAGACACGGGCCAAACUCCUACGGGAGGCAGCAGUUAGGAAUAUUGGUCAAUGGGCGAGAGCCUGAACCAGCCAAGUAGCGUGCAGGAUGACGGCCCUACGGGUUGUAAACUGCUUUUAUAAGGGAAUAAAGUGAGUCUCGUGAGACUUUUUGCAUGUACCUUAUGAAUAAGGACCGGCUAAUUCCGUGCCAGCAGCCGCCGUAA